rnacentral:rRNA from 1 species
UACGAAGGGGGCUAGCGUUGCUCGGAAUUACUGGGCGUAAAGCGUGCGCAGGCGGUCUGUUAAGACAGAUGUGAAAUCCCCGGGCUUAACCUGGGAACUGCAUUGGUGACUGCACGGCUAGAGUGUGUCAGAGGGGGGUAGAAUUCCACGUGUAGCAGUGAAAUGCGUAGAGAUGUGGAGGAAUACCGAUGGCGAAGGCAGCCCCCUGGGCCAAUACUGACGCUCAUGCACGAAAGCGUGGGGAGCAAACAGG